GCAAAAAUAAGCUUAAAUCAAUGGAUGAGGUCAGAUCUCUUUUAAGCUUACGUGCAUUGAUCUUGAAUGAUAAUGAGAUUGUUUCCAUUUGCAGGCUUGAUCAAUUGAAAGAAUUGAACACUUUAGUUCUUUCUAGAAAUCCAAUCAAUAAACUUGAAGAGUCACUGGUCAAGGUGAAAUCAAUCACGAAG